GGAGGUCCCUUUAAGUUGCCAUUGACGGAGGCCCGAGCGUGUCACAUGGACAUGAUAUCAUGACCGGGCAGGAACACUGCGAGCGAGGGAGCGAGGCUACUUCUUCUUCUUGGGCUCCGAAGAGGAAUUAAAAAAAAAAAAAACAACCCAAAAAAGAAUAACGCGGAGUCAUUUCACGACAGAAGGGAACGAGGAUCCGGAACGCUGGAUUCGGACUUGUCGGUUAUACAAUCCACCUGCCAGCAGCUGUGACGCGCCGUAAAAACAAAUUGACGGAGGAAACAUCGCAGUCCCGGAGCAGCGCCUUUUUGGAGUACGCGACGCGACGCGGAUCAAGAUGGAGAAUGAAAUGGACGUCCCAGCGUGGGAGUCGCAGCCUGACACGAGCGUCUUUGUGCCUCGGCGUGUCACUUCCUGGGAAGAGAAUGGAGCGGGAAGCCAGCGGAAGCGCAAAGCACACCUCCACAGAGAGGCCUUUUCUUUCGAAAAAUGGUUUGUAUGUGUGAGUGUGUGUGGUGAUGAUAUUUAGCAUCAAAAAGCCUCUUUUAGGGUUUGGCCUUUUGUGAAAGGGCUUCAAAGGGGG